rnacentral:rRNA from 1 species
UGCGUAGGCGGAUCAAGAAGUCAGUGGUGAAAUCUCUCGGCUCAACCGGGAAACUGCCAUUGAUACUGUUGAUCUUGAGUUCGGUUGAGGUAGGCGGAAUGUGUAAUGUAGCGGUGAAAUGCUUAGAUAUUACACAGAACACCAAUUGCGUAGGCAGCUUACUAGACCGACACUGACGCUGAGGCACGAAAGCGUGGGGAGCGAACAGGAUUAGAUACCCUGGUAGUCC